rnacentral:rRNA from 1 species
GACGAACGCUGGCGGCGUGCUUAACACAUGCAAGUCGAACGAAGUGGCGAACGGGUGAGUAACGCGUAAUCAACCUGCCCUUCAGAGGGGGACAACAGUUGGAAACGACUGCUAAUACCGCAUACUGAAGGAGGGGAUUGCGUCUGAUUAGAUAGGUGGAGGGGUAACGGCCCACCAAGGCGAAGAUCAGUAGCCGGGCUGAGAGGAUGAACGGCCACAUUUGGACUUGGGCCCGGCCCAGACUCCUACUGGGGGCAGCAGGGGGGAAUCUUCCGGAAUGGACGGAAGUCUGACCGGGCAACGCCGGGUGAGUGAUGACGGCCUUCGGGUUGUAAAGCUCUGUUAAUCGGGACGCGGUACCUGAAUAGAAAGCCACGGCUAACUACGUGCCAGCAGCCGCGGUAAUAC